ACAUGCUGAAAUCAAUUGUCGCUCUCCCGCCCGAGAUUUUCUUGCUGGCCCACCCAGCCAGCGCCUAUCUCUCUAUCGCCCAUGACCAUCUUAUCUUCUCUCUCUCUCCCUUCCCAGCGCUAAAAUGCAUGCAAUGAGUAUCCAAAAAUAGCUCGCCAGCAGCACAAGCCUCCACGGAAGCAGGAAAAGAAAAAAGAAGAAAAAAAACCGGAAAAAGCAAAGAACAAGAAAAUAAGAAAUACGCCUUGGAAUAGGUGCAGUCGGCAUAAGCUCUGCUGAACUUUGGAUUGCCCGGUUCCGUUCCUGGAGCUUAAACCUCAAUCAACUCUCU
rnacentral:sRNA from 1 species